rnacentral:rRNA from 1 species
GAUGAACGCUGGCGGCGUGCUUAACACAUGCAAGUCGAACGGAAAGGCCAGUGCUUGCACUGGUACUCGAGUGGCGAACGGGUGAGUAACACGUGGGUGAUCUGCCCUGUACUUCGGGAUAAGCUUGGGAAACUGGGUCUAAUACCGGAUAGGACAACUUUUUGGAUAUUGUUGUGGAAAGCUUUUGCGGUAUGGGAUGAGCUCGCGGCCUAUCAGCUUGUUGGUGGGGUAAUGGCCUACCAAGGCGUCGACGGGUAGCCGGCCUGAGAGGGUGUACGGCCACAUUGGGACUGAGAUACGGCCCAGACUCCUACGGGAGGCAGCAGUGGGGAAUAUUGCACAAUGGGCGCAAGCCUGAUGCAGCGACGCCGCGUGGGGGAUGAAGGCCUUCGGGUUGUAAACUCCUUUCGCUAGGGACGAAGCGCAAGUGACGGUACCUGGAGAAGAAGCACCGGCUAACUACGU